rfam:Ailuropoda melanoleuca scaffold491_41, whole genome shotgun sequence.
ACCUGGCUGGCUCAGUCAGUGAAGCAUGCGACUCUUGAUCUCAGCAUUGUGAGUUCAAGCCCCACGUUGGGUG